GUCUUGUCCUUUUUUUGUCCUUAUUUUUUUUCCUUUAGGUUGUGCGGCCCAGGACUUGGCCAUACCAGGUAUAUAUGUUAUUGUUAAGGUCUUUUGUGUAUAUGUCUUGUCCUUUUUUUUUCCUUUAGGUUGUGCGGCCCAGGACUUGGCCAUACCAGGUAUAUAUGUUAUUGUUAAGGUCUUUGUGUAAGUCUCAUGUCCUUUUUUUGCCCCUAUUUUUUUCCUUUAGGUUGUGCAGCCCAGGACUUGGCCAUACCAGGUAUAUAUGUUAUUGUUAAGGUCUUUGUGCAUUUCUCAUGUCUUUUUGCCCCUAUUUUUUUUUCUCUUUAGGUUGUGCAGCCCAGGACUUGGCCAUACCAGGUAUAUAUGUUAUUGUUAAGUCUUUUGUGUAUAUGUCUUGUCCUUUUUUUUUCCUUUUUUUUUUAGGUUGUGCGGCCCAGGACUUGGCCAUACCAGGUAUAUAUGUUAUUGUUAAGGUCUUUGUGUAAGUCUCAUGUCCUUUUUUUGCCCCUAUUUUUUUCCUUUAGGUUGUGCAGCCCAGGACUUGGCCAUACCAGGUAUAUAUGUUAUUGUUAAGGUCUUUGUGCAUUUCUCAUGUCUUUUUGCCCCUAUUUUUUUUUCUCUUUAGGUUGUGCAGCCCAGGACUUGGCCAUACCAGGUAUAUAUAUGUUAUUGUUAAGGUCUUUUGUGUAUAUGUCUUUUUGUCCUUUUUUUUUCCUUUAGGAUGUACGGCCCAGGACUUCGCCAUACCAGGUAUAUAUGUUAUUGUUAAGGUCUUUCUGUAUGUCUCAUGUCCUUUUUUUGCCUCUAUUUUUUUCCCUUUAGGUUUUGCGGCCCAGGACUUGGCCAUACCAGGUAUAUAUGUUAAUGUUAAGGUCUUUGUGUAAGUUUCAUGUCCCUUUUUUUGCCCUUAUUUUUUUCCUUUAGGUUGUACAGCCCAGGACUUGGCCAUACCAGGUAUAUAUAUUAUUGUUAAGGUCUUUGUGUAUGUUUCAUGUCUUUUUUUUGCCCCUUUUUUUCCCCUUUAGGUUGUGUGGCCCAGGACUUGGCCAUACCAGGUAUAUAUGUUAUUGUUAAGGUCUUUGUGUAUAUGUCUUGUCCUUUUUUUGUCCUUUAUUUUUUCCUUUAGGUUGUGCGGCCCAGGACUUGGCCAUACCAGGUAUAUAUGUUAUUGUUAAGGUCUUUGUGUAUAUGUCUUGUCCUUUUUUUUCCUUUAGGUUGUUUGGCCCAGGACUUGGCCAUACCAGGUAUAUAUGUUAUUGUUAAGGUCUUUGUGUAUAUGUCUUGUCCUUUUUUUGUCCUUAUUUUUUUCCUUUAGGAUGUACGGCCCAGGACUUCGCCAUACCAGGUAUAUAUGUUAUUGUUAAGGUCUUUGUGUAAGUUUCAUGUCCUUUUUUUGCCCCUAUUUUUUUCCUUUAGGUUGUACAGCCCAGGACUUGGCCAUACCAGGUAUAUAUGUUAUUGUUAAGGUCUUUGUGCAUUUCUCAUGUCUUUUUGCCCCUAUUUUUUUUUCUUUAGGUUGUGCAGCCCAGGACUUGGCCAUACCAGAUAUAUAUGUUAUUGUUAAGGUCUUUGUGUGUGUCUCAUGUUCUUUUUUUGCCCCUAUUUUUUUCCUUUAGGUUGUGCGGCCCAGGAAUUGGCCAUACCAGGUAUAUGUGUUAUUGUUAAGGUCUUUGUGUAAGUUUCAUGUCAUUUUUUUGCCCCUAUUUUUUUCCUUUAGGUUGUACAGCCCAGGACUUGGCCAUACGAGGUAUAUAUGUUAUUGUUAAGGUCUUUGUGUGUGUUUCAUGUCUUUUAUUUGCCCCUUUUCUUUUCCUUUAGGUUGUGCAGCCCAGGACUUGGCCAUACCAGGUAUAUAUGUUAUUAUUAAGGUCUUUGUGUAAGUCUCAUGUCCUUUUUUUGCCCCUAUUUUUUUUCCUUUAGGUUGUGCAGCCCAGGACUUGGCCAUACCAGGUAUAUAUGUUAUUG
rnacentral:lncRNA from 1 species